GAUGAAGAACGCAGCGAAAUGCGAUAAAUAAUGUGAAUUGCAGAAUUCAGUGAAUCAUCGAAUCUUUGAACGCACAUUGCGCCCAUUAGUAUUCUAGUGGGCAUGCCUGUUCGAGCGUCAUUAAGUCCACUUAAGCCCUGCUUAGUGUUGGGAGACUGCUCCAGCGGUGCUACCCUGUAGCUACCCUGCAGCUCCUCAAAGACAGCGGCGGAGUUGUGGUAUCCUCUGAGCUUAGUAACUUGUUCUAGCUUUCGAGUACACCACUUCCCCUGCCGUAAAACCCUUAAUUUUUAAUGGUUGACCUCGGAUCAGGUAGGAAUACCCGCUGAACUUAAGCAUAUCAAUAAGCGGAGGA
rnacentral:misc_RNA from 1 species